rnacentral:rRNA from 1 species
CCUACGGGAGGCAGCAGUGGGGAAUUUUGGACAAUGGGCGAAAGCCUGAUCCAGCCAUUCCGCGUGAGUGAAGAAGGCCUUCGGGUUGUAAAGCUCUUUCGCAAGGAAAGAAAACUUAUCUCCUAAUACGGGGUGAGGAUGACGGUACCUUGAUAAGAAGCACCGGCUAACUACGUGCCAGCAGCCGCGGUAAUACGUAGGGUGCGAGCGUUAAUCGGAAUUACUGGGCGUAAAGCGUGCGCAGGCUGUUUUGUAAGUCAGAUGUGAAAUCCCUGGGCUCAACCUAGGAACUGCGUUUGAAACUACAAGGCUAGAGUGUAGCAGAGGGGGGUAGAAUUCCACGUGUAGCAGUGAAAUGCGUAGAGAUGUGGAGGAAUACCAAUGGCGAAGGCAGCCCCCUGGGUUAACACUGACGCUCAUGCACGAAAGCGUGGGGAGCAAACAGGAUUAGAUACCCUGGUAGUCCACGCCCUAAACGAUGUCUACUAGUUGUUGGGAGAGUAAAAUCUCUUAGUAACGCAGCUAACGCGUGAAGUAGACCGCCUGGGGAGUACGGUCGCAAGAUUAAAAACNCAAAAUGAAUUGACGG